rnacentral:rRNA from 1 species
GGGUGAGUAAUGCGUGACCAACCUGCCCCAUGCUCCAGAAUAGCUCUUGGAAACGGGUGGUAAUGCUGGAUGCUCCAACUUGACGCAUGUCUUGUUGGGAAAGUGUUUAGUGGCAUGGGAUGGGGUCGCGUCCUAUCAGCUUGUAGGCGGGGUAAUGGCCCACCUAGGCUUCGACGGGUAGCCGGCCUGAGAGGGCGGACGGCCACAUUGGGACUGAGAUACGGCCCAGACUCCUACGGGAGGCAGCAGAA